UCGAAAUCACUCUUAAAGGGUCCGCUCCUGGCUCGCGACUCCCCAGUUCCCUAGCCCAGAAAAGCGGAUUGGAGCCCGGGAAGCUCAUUGCGAUUCCAAAGGUCACGCUGAUGCAAGAGAUGGGUUCCCAUGAUCUUGGGCAGCUCCACUCCUGUGGCUUUGCAGGGUACAGGCUUCCUCCUGGCUGCUUUCACGGGCUGGUGAUGCGGAAACUGAAGCUCAGAGAGCCCAAGUCAUUUGCCCAAGGUCCCAGUGACCUGCCGAGUGGGAAGAGCCGUGGCUGGCCGGCCUCCCAGUGGCGACGACGACCUCGCUGUGUUCGUGGCAGCGGCACUCUCAAAUCUGGGCACGGUGAUGGGAAGGUUAUUUGUUGGAAUCCCUUUGCCUUUCCAAGGGAAAAUAAACACAAAAAGUGAGAAGUCUUGGGGUCUCAGCGAGCGCCAAAACAAAAAACUGGACUCUGGCGGGGAUGUGGGCAAGAAGCGACUAAGCGAGGAAGGAAACCAGUUUGGGCCUCCGAGAAAUCUGGCAGGCGAGAAGGUUUGAACCGUGAUUAAAAAGGGGAAGAACCACAAGUCCCAAUUUAAGUCAGCAGAGCUGCUGUCUGGGCAGUGAGAGGGAAAGUGCUUGUGGCUGGCAGAUUUCAGCAGCCAUUUGGCAUUGGCUGGGUACCGGGCUGCUCUGUGGGUGCUGCCUGGCAGCUGCAUGGCUACAGACAAGUAACUGUUCUCUCUUGGCCGCAGUGUCCCCAGGUAUAAGAAAGUGAUCAAAUAAUAUGGGAUGAUCCAUUCAGACUUUUUUUUUUUUUUUUUUUAGAGACAGAGCCUACCUCUGUCUCCCAGGCUCGAGUGCAGUGAUGCAAUCUUGGCUCACUGCAGUGUCCACCUCCCAGGUUCAAGCGAUUCUUCUGCCUCUGCCUCCCCAGUAGCUGGGACUACAGGUGCGUGCAACCAUG
rnacentral:lncRNA from 1 species